UCUCUGAAUUUUCUCCUCUGUCUGAUUCCUUUUAUUAAUUGGAGUUUACUCGCUCCUUUUCCUUUCCCUGAAAACAUUUCCUCGUCGUAUUGAUGUCGAAAAGGGCCGACCACUUCCAAAAUUUGGUGAAUGGGAUGUCAAUGAUCCAACCUCAGCUGAGGGGUUCACAGUGAUUUUUAAUAAGGCCAGGGAUGAGAAAAAGA